UCCAGAGCAUUCAGCAGCGAGAUUGUUGGGACUUCGGGAACUAUGAGACAGGUGCAGCAUCUCCGUUGCCAGCUUCUGUUGUGAAAUUUUAGGUUAAGUUUCGCAACGAGCGCAAGCCUUAUCCUUUGCUCCCAGCGAUUCGGUCGGGAACUCAAAGGAGACUGCCGGUGAUAAACCGGAGGAAGGUGGGGAUGACGUCAAGUCAUCAUGGGCCUUACGAGUAGGGCUACACACGUAAUACAAUGGUGCGUACAAAGGGAAGCGACCUCGCGAGGGCAAGCAGACCUCAUAAACUCCAUCGUAGUCCGGAACGGACUCUGCAACUCGACUCCGGAAGCCGGAAUCGCUAGUAAUCGUGGAUCAGAAGCCUCGGGAAUA
rnacentral:rRNA from 1 species